ACGCUCGACACCUACGGGAGGCAGCAGGUGGGGAAUAUUGCACAAUGGGGGAAACCCUGAUGCAGCGACGCCGCGUGGAGGAAGAAGGUCUUCGGAUUGUAAACUCCUGUUGUUGGGGAAAAAGAGGAUGGUACCCAACAAGGAAGUGACGGCUAACUACGUGCCACAGCCGCGGUAAUCUGAGCGGGCUGGCAAGGC
rnacentral:rRNA from 1 species